rnacentral:rRNA from 1 species
CCAGAAGGUAUCCUUCUGGCAAGGGUACUGUACUAAACUAACUAAAGUGGGGGAUAGUGAGGGGAUAAAUUUUCUUAAGGAACUCGGCAAAAUCCCAAUGGCCCACCAGGGCAUAUUGGAACACGGGCCUCGACUGUUUACCAAAAACAUAGCCCUCGGCUAAUAUGAAAAUAGAUGUAUAGAGGGUGAUGCCUGCCCAAUGGUUGUAUCUAAAAGCGGUUGAUAAAAGUUGACCUCGUAAGGACAAUUGAAUGGCCGCGGUAACACUGACCGUGAUAAUGUAGCGUAAUCAAUAGCCAAUUAAUUGUUGGCCAGUAUGAAUGGCGCCACGAAGGCCCCACUGUCUUAAGGAAAUUCCCAGUGAAAUUGAAUUCGUAGUGAAGAUGCUACGUCCAAUUUGUUAGACGAAAAGACCCCGUUGAGCUUUACUGGAGCACUUACAUGGCCCCGGCCUUCCCAUGCCUGGGAACCGGCCGAAUUUAAAUGGGCGGCUUAGAUUAUGUGGCAGCCCCCCGCUGGGGCAAAUGAAACACCACUCCCCCAUGUCAAAGGGGCUAACCCCCCCCCCUUGGGGGGAC